rfam:Triticum aestivum genome assembly, contig: Triticum_aestivum_CS42_TGACv1_scaffold_149904_2BS
AAAGUACUCCCUCCGUCCGGAAUUACUUGUCAUCAAAAUGGAUGUGUCUAGAACUAAAAUACAUCUAGAUACAUCCAUUUCAAUGACAAGUAUUUUUGGACGGAGGGAGUACAAG